rnacentral:sRNA from 1 species
CAGACGCGCGGGCGGGAAGAUGGCGGCUGGGUUCAAAACCGUGGAACCUCUGGAGUAUUACAGGAGAUUUCUGAAAGAGAACUGCCGUCCUGAUGGAAGAGAACUUGGUGAAUUCAGAACCACAACUGUCAACAUCGGUUCAAUUAGUACCGCAGAUGGUUCUGCUUUAGUGAAGUUGGGAAAUACUACAGUAAUUUGUGGAGUUAAAGCAGUAAGUCUAAAUAUGUCCUAUUGAGAUUUGAGUUACAAAGUUAGCUUUAUUUAUUAGAUUGUAAUAUACACCUGUAAUUCUACUCUUGAUUUGGUAGUUGGGUGUCAAUUUUUAAUAUUUAAUUUCCCAAGAGCUUUCACUAUGAGUGUUAGAUAAUAUGACCCAAGUUUAAUGACUAAGUGAACAAUUGUCAAAUGUAGCAAAAUGAAACAACUUUUAAAAUCUGAGUCACCAUUUUAAAAAAAUUCAGUUAUAUCAUUUGAGAAAUUAACAGAUUUUUGGUGACAUCCUUUUAGCCAGUGAUGACAUGUAAUCUGUGUAAAUGUGUAGAAAAUUGAAAUUGUUGAAAAGAAAAAUUUGAGGGAAUACUGGCUACCAUUUACUGAGUACCUGCUAUGUUCCAGACACCUUUUUAGGUGCUUUACAGAAUUAUCCACUUUAAUGCCUAUAACAAUCAUUUGUUACUUGUCUUCACCUCCUGUUUUACAGAUGAGUUUCAGUAACCUGUCCAGGUACAUAAGACUCAUAAGUAAAACUUAGACAUAAAUCUGACUCCAAAGCCUGUGCUUCUUUGACUACAGUAUACCCUGUGUUAUUUAACCUCAGUUGAGAUUCUUCUUUCGUAAACCUGGAGUGAUGUAUAACAGUAAGAUUUGAGAACUUGCUCCUUGUCAGGUUUUAUGCCUGGGAUUUAACAGGUCUAUCUCAUUUGGCCCUUAUUAACAGUCCCUAGGAGUAGACACUAUUUUCUUCCCAUUUGACAAGAUGAGGAGUUUAAGGUAAGAGGUUAAAUAACUUGCCUGAAGUCUCUCAGCCAGUAAGUAUGGCUCUGACAUUUGAACUGGCUUAGUAAUUGCAGAGCAUUUGCUUUUUUUUUUUUUUUGAGACGGAGUCUUGCUCUGUCGCCCAGGCUGGAGUGCAGUGGCACGAUGUCGGCUCACUGCAACUUCCGUCUCCUGGGUUCAAGUGAUUCUCCUGCCUCAGCCUCCCAAGUAGCUGGGAUUACAGGCGCCCGCCACCAUGCCUGGCUAAUUUUUGUAUUUUUAGUAGAGACGGGGUUUUGCCAUCUUGGCCAGGCUGGUCUCAAACUCCUGACCUCAGGUGAUCCGCCCGCCUCUGUGUCCCAAAGUGCUGGGAUUACCGGUGUGAGCCACCGCGCCCAGCUGAGCUUUUGCUCUUUACCACUAAAGCAGCAGUUCCUAAAUCUUGCUCUAUCAUCUGGAGAACAAAUUAAGAUUCUUGGCUAGUAGGUGGGGGCACAAACCCAGUUACUAUUUUUUAAAAGAUCUCCAGGUAAUCUUGCCGAGCAGCACUGUAGUGUAGUCCACUGUACUGUAGUGCCUUCUUAUCUUGUAGAGCUAUUGUGAGGAUCAGCACCAAUGUCCGUAGAGGCCCUGACACAAUUCCCUAAGCUGAUAUUUGAUAGAGCCUUCCAUAACUGAUUGCUAAAUUGUCUUCAUAAUUUUUCAGUAGCUUCUUUCAAUAGGAAACAUUUCUUUGCUACUAUAGGAAUUUGCAGCACCACCAACAGAUGCCCCUGAUAAAGGAUACGUUGAUUCCGGUCUGGACCUCCUGGAGAAGAGGCCCAAGUGGCUAGCCAGUUCAUUGCAGAUGUCAUUGAAAAUUCACAGAUAAUUCAGAAAGAGGACUUAUGCAUUUCUCCAGGAAAGCUUGUCUGGGUUCUAUACUGUGAUCUCAUUUGCCUCGACUACGAUGGAAACAUUUUGGAUGCCUGCACAUUUGCUUUGUUAGCGGCUUUAAAAAAUGUACAGUUGCCUGAAGUUACUAUAAAUGAAGAAACUGCUUUAGCAGAAGUUAAUUUAAAGAAGAAAAGUUAUUUGAAUAUUAGAACUCAUCCAGUUGCAACUUCCUUUGCUGUGUUUGAUGACACUUUGCUUAUAGUUGACCCUACUGGAGAGGAGGAACAUCUGGCAACGGGAACCUUAACAAUAGUAAUGGAUGAGGAAGGCAAACUGUGUUGUCUUCACAAACCAGGUGGAAGUGGGCUAACUGGAGCUAAACUUCAGGACUGUAUGAGCCGAGCAGUUACAAGACACAAAGAAGUUAAAAAACUGAUGGAUGAAGUAAUUAAGAGUAUGAAACCCAAAUAAACAGCCACCACAUUUUCAAAACAGAUUUGUAAAAAUUGUAUUUGUUAACACUGUGCACAAACGUUUUAUACUAAAUAAAUAUCAAACUACAUUCUUCUGAAA